UACAGAGGGUGCAAGCGUUAAUCGGAAUUACUGGGCGUAAAGCGUGUGUAGGUGGUUUGCUAAGUCAGGUGUGAAAUCCCCGGGCUCAACCUAGGAAUUGCAUUUGAUACUGGCAGGCUAGAGUGUGGUAGAGGAUGGUGGAAUUCCCGGUGUAGCGGUGAAAUGCGCAGAUAUCGGGAAGAACACCCGUGGCGAAGGCGGCUCUCUGGGACGGUACUGACGCUGAGACGCGAAAGCGUGGGGAGCGAACAGG
rnacentral:rRNA from 1 species